CGGUCUGGUGGCGAGUGGCGAACGGGUGAGUAACAUAUCGGAACGUAUCCAAUAAUGGGGGAUAACUAAUCGAAAGGUUGGCUAAUACCGCAUACGCCCUACGGGGGAAAGCAGGGGAUCUUCGGACCUUGCGUUAAUGGAGCGGCUGAUAUCUGAUUAGCUAGUUGGUGAGGUAAAGGCUCACCAAGGCGACGAUCAGUAGCUGGUCUGAGAGGACGACCAGCCACACUGGAACUGAGACACGGUCCAGACUCCUACGGGAGGCAGCAGUGGGGAAUUUUGGACAAUGGGCGCAAGCCUGAUCCAGCCAUUCCGCGUGAGUGAAGAAGGCCUUCGGGUUGUAAAGCUCUUUCGCAAGGGAAGAAAACUUACUUUCUAAUAAAGAGUGAGGUUGACGGUACCUUGAUAAGAAGCACCGGCUAACUACGUGCCAGCAGCCGCGGUAAUACGUAGGGUGCGAGCGUUAAUCGGAAUUACUGGGCGUAAAGCGUGCGCAGGCGGCUUUGUAAGUCAGAUGUGAAAUCCCCGAGCUCAACUUGGGAACUGCGUUUGUAACUACAAGGCUAGAAUAUGUCAGGGGGGGGUAGAAUUCCACGUGUAGCAGUGAAAUGCGUAGAGAUGUGGAGGAAUACCAAUGGCGAAGGCAGCCCCCUGGGAUAAUAUUGACGCUCAUGCACGAAAGCGUGGGGAGCAAACAGGA
rnacentral:rRNA from 1 species